rnacentral:rRNA from 1 species
ACGAAGGGGGCUAGCGUUGUUCGGAAUUACUGGGCGUAAAGCGCACGUAGGCGGACAUUUAAGUCAGGGGUGAAAUCCCGGGGCUCAACCCCGGAACUGCCUUUGAUACUGCGAGUCUUGAGUCCGAUAGAGGUGGGUGGAAUUCCUAGUGUAGAGGUGAAAUUCGUAGAUAUUAGGAAGAACACCAGUGGCGAAGGCGGCCCACUGGAUCGGUACUGACGCUGAGGUGCGAAAGCGUGGGGAGCAAACAGGA